AUCAGAAAGGGAAAGAAAGGGAACGGGGAGCUCGAGGGGGAAAACAAAAAGGAAAAAGAAAGGAAGGGGAAAGAGGGAAGGCAGGGGAAAAACGGAGGUGAAGAGAGGGAGGAGGAAGGAGCGACGCGGCCAAGACCUCACUGCUGCCGCUGUUGUGCUGCACGUGAGAGUGAGAGAGAGACACACACAGGACGAGCAUCGCGAGAAUCAAGGGAGGGAGACACGGUUCCGUCCUGUUGCCGUUGUGGGUUGCGCCUGAUCACCAUCGCAGAAGCUCCAUCGUCGCUGUUGCACAUAAGAAGAGAAGAUGACUUCGCUGAUUUUGAUUCUGCCUAAGUCCGCAUCGUUGCUGGAAUCGCGAACCGGGGAGGAGAGGGAGGCUGCUUCCAUCGUCAUUUUAGGUGUUAGAAAAGACCGUCGCCAUUGAAGGAUCCACCGCCGCCGAAUCCCAGCUAUCAUCGCCGCCGGAGUCACCGUGGUUGCGGUUGGAGAAGUGCUAUGAAUGCCGCUGCUGUUGUUAGCACGCAAGGGGGAAUAGCCCGUCCUUGCCGGUUCUGCCGCCGUCAAAGGGAAAAGGAAGUGAGAGCACCGGUACGGAACGCGAGAAAGGAAUCGUCGCCAAAACCGGAACAGAUUCACCGGACGGACGCCCUGGUCUCUGGUUCCUGUUAUUCUGAGUACCAAAGCUGUUGCUCCAUUCCCGUCUUUCCUUGCCAUUAUUAAUUUCCCCUUCAAAGUUGCUGUUGCUGCUAUUAGAGUUGUGGUUGAUGUUGUUAUCCUCGCAUUAGAACAUGGAGGGUUGCUGCGUUUCCAAUUUUGUGUGGUUAAUGCGACAUCGAGUGACACAGGUUUGAAGACGCAACUUGAAGCUGCGAGCGAUUAGUAGGUUUUCUUUAUGGUUUAAUUUGGUCUGGUAGAGUCCCCUCGCCGAUUGUCCCUUGAGAUUUUAUUUCAUAUAGAGGGGUAGGUUUGGUAUAUUGUAUUUGAGUUUUAUUUGGUUUCUUUUGUAUAAGUAUUAUUAUCAAUAAUAUUUAUGUGAUUAUUAUUAUUUGUAAA